CACCUCCCAUCUUUUAAACUCUUAACAUCUAAAUUUAUUCUGUUUUUUCCUCACAUAUAACUAGCAUGAUUUUUUAUUAUCCUUAUAACACUAAUCCUUUUACCUUUUAGAUCUCAUCUCUUUAUGUCUAUACUCCCAGUUUCCAUUUCUCCCCAUUAUCACUACCUUUUCAAAAUUCUAUAAUCCAGUAAUUUAGGAAGUUUCUGAAGCUUAUGAAACAGGCCAUACUCUCUGCCUUCUAUGCCGAAGUGUGUGCAAGAGUGGUUUUUCUACCCUUUGACUUGCUAACUCUUGUUCAUGUUCCCAAGUUUAUUUCAGACAAUAUCUCCUAGAAUCUUUUCCUCUGAGCUGCUUAUUCUAGAUCUUUCGACAGAGGACCUCACCCCUUUCAUCUUUGUAUCCUGGAUACCUACUUAGCAUGCUGUUUGGCAAACGGAAUGUCAACUAAGGUAUCCAAAAGUGGGAACUCUGUGGGGACUUGCCAACAGGGUGUUGCCUCAAACUUAGAAAAUCAAGAACUUUUACCUUGGAAAAUCACAAGGCAAGUACAUUACCAUGGUUCUUUUGUGAGUGACAGCCAAAAUUCUAAAGGAAGCAGAGGUCAUUUUCUGACCCAAGAAAACCUCAGGGAUAAAGUCCCAUGAAGGAAAAACCCUUCCAUGGUACUUGAUUCAAAGAAGUUCAAGGUUCAUCUUGCAUCUAACAUAGAACAAACCUCUCCAUUGUUUGACAUAAUAGGCCCAAGUAGCCAUGUGGGUGAGCCUUUGGACCAACACCCCUGUGUGUGGUGAGUGUAAGACCACUUACCCUUGGAAAACACAGUUUGUCAUUUGUACGUAUAAGAAGACCCUUGCAAAAGUGAAAAGGGGUACCGAACACUUCCUUAAGAAAAGUUCAGAUUUUGAAAGAAAUGAGAAAACCCACAUAGUUGAUGCACAGUGUUAAAGUAUUCAGUGUGGUAACGCCUUCAGUUUGAAUCAACAGAAUGAUCACAGAAAACAUGAGAGAGAAAUCUCAUAGAUGUAAUGACUGUGGAAAAGACUUCAGUGGAAGAUCAAAACUAAAUCUACAUAACAUGACCCACGCAGGAGAGAAAACUUAUAUUAUGUGUGUGGUAAGGGAUGCAGUGAUUGUACACAUCUUCACGUUCAUCAGAGAAUCUAUACAGGAGGAAAGCCCUAUAAAUGUAAUGAGUGUGGUGAGGACUUCACUACAAGUUCAGAUCUAGGCACACAGGAGAGAGGCCAUGUAGUGUGAUGAGUAUGGCAAAGGCUUCAUUGCAAGUUCAAAACCCCUCAUUCACCUGAGAGUCCAUGCAGGACAGAAACCAUAUAAAUGUCAACAGAGUGGUAAGAGCUUCCCUGGAGGCUCAUAUCUGUGUAGGCUCAGAUCUGUGUAUCCAUCAAAAAGAGCACACAGGACAGAGACCUUACUAAUGCAGGGCUUGUGGAAAGGACUUUAGUAGGGGUUCUGAACUCCACAUUCAUCAGAGAAUCCAUAUGGGAGAGAAGCCCUAUAAAUGUAAACAGCAUGGUAAAGAUUUCAGUAGGAGCACCCCAAAUUUCAUAUUCACCAGAGAGUCCACAUGAGGGGAGUGUGAUAAAGGCUUCAGUCUCAACACAGACCUUUGUGCUCAUCAGAGUCCACACCACAGAGAGACCAUUUAAAUCUGAAUAGUGUGGUAAAGGCUUUAGCCUUAGCAUAUAUCUCAGAGUCCAUCAGAGAGUCACACUGUGGGGAGAGCCUACAAACAUAAUAAAUAUGAGGAGGAUUUCACUCAGAUCUCAAAACUUGAUAUUCAUCAGAGAAUCCACAGGAAAGAAAAACUACACAGAAUAUGAGUCUAAUUUUAACUUAAGUCAGAAGAGAAAUCUUAGGUAUAUCAGAGUACACAUUGAUCCAGAAGGAAAACUGUAAUCAAUGCAAUGACGACAUUAGAGUGCACGUUUCAAAUAUGAGAAGAACCAUGGAAUUAAAAUCCGAAUUAGUGAGAAAACUGUAAGAAAUAUUUUGGGCAGAGUUCAAAACUUAACACACAGGGUUAGUUGUAUCUAGGAAAUAAAUUCUGAAAAUACUCUAAAUGAAAUAUAUGUAUACAUAUCCACACAUAUGUAUCUGUGUACACACGCAGACAUCCAUGUGUGUGAGAGAUCUAGAGUGAGGACUUAGAUUUUAAGUUUUGUAUUUGUCAAAAUUACAUAAUUUGUAACACUCUUAUACCAUACCGUUUAUAUAAAUUUAUAAAUAGUAACAGAAAGCAGAUCAGUGAUUAACUGGAGUUAAGGAAUGGGACAAGCAUGAGUAAAAGGAAGGGAUUAUUAAG